GCAUAUCAAUAAGCGGAGGAAAAGAAACCAACAGGGAUUGCCUCAGUAGCGGCGAGUGAAGCGGCAAAAGCUCAAAUUUGAAAUCUGGCGUCUUUGGCGUCCGAGUUGUAAUUUGAAGAAGGUAUCUUUGGGCCCGGCUCUUGUCUAUGUUCCUUGGAACAGGACGUCACAGAGGGUGAGAAUCCCGUGCGAUGAGAUGACCCGGGUCUGUGUAAAGUUCCUUCGACGAGUCGAGUUGUUUGGGAAUGCAGCUCUAAGUGGGUGGUAAAUUCCAUCUAAAGCUAAAUAUUGGCGAGAGACCGAUAGCGAACAAGUACAGUGAUGGAAAGAUGAAAAGAACUUUGAAAAGAGAGUGAAAAAGUACGUGAAAUUGUUGAAAGGGAAGGGCUUGAGAUCAGACUUGGUAUUUUGCAUGCUGCUCUCUCGGGGGCGGCCGCUGCGGUUUACCGGGCCAGCAUCGGUUUGGAGCGGCAGGAUAAUGGCGGAGGAAUGUGGCACGGCUUCUGCUGUGUGUUAUAGCCUCUGACGAUACUGCCAGCCUAGACCGAGGACUGC
rnacentral:rRNA from 1 species